CAUCACGUGAUACCGACUUCCUCGAGUUUUUCUUUCACUUGUUGGAAUAACUCCGUAUUGCCAGUUUUUCCUUCGCCCAGUCUUGAAAUUUAGUUUGAAUCAAAAACAAACUUUCCGCAGCAGUCCAGUGCCGAUUGCUCACCUCCAUUUUUUUUAAAUCGAAGAACGUCUCGAGCUGCGUGUUACGUCAUAUCUCAGCAUUCUCUGAAAGAACGCACCCGGGAACAGGAAAAGUGCUCAGUCAAGACUCACUCAUCCUCUACACAUUGGAUUUCUUCAGCUCAGUAGUCACCGAGCGUCGACAGGAAUGAUCAAUAAGGUCCUCUUUUACCGCUUCACUUCACAACUGUCUGUCACGGCCGCAGCUUCGGAAUACUUUGACGUGCACAAACAGCGAGAUUGUGAAUAACUGAAUGGAGUAGUAUUCCCUCCAUCCAUUUCAUCUGUUUGAACAAUCUGCAGUCUAUUCCUCAAUGCAUGCAAAGGCAAGACUCUAUUCCAAGGAUCCAAUAGCGUGCCUGGUGAAACCCUGACUGUGGCACCAGCCGCGUUGUUUACUAAAGGCCUGCAGACAGCUGCAAAUAAAUGAAGAAGGACUAACUCUGGAGGGAACACGAGGACGCUCACGCUGGGAUUUGCUGACUAGUUUUGUCACUGCACGGAGGCCUUGUGUGCACCCCCCACCCCAUGCACAACUUUUUUUUGCAUGUUUAAAAUAUCCAUUCAUCAUAGCACUACUUCCUCUCACAUUAAUUCCUGCCUUGGUAAUAUAGUUUUGCCUAAUUAAUCUUUCACCCACUUUACACCGCAGUCACUAUCACAUCCGCAGAAGCCGCUGCUUACUUCAUUUGAAAAAUGAUCUCAAAGAAUAACACUAUAAUAAAUGUAUUCUAUUCUGGGGGCUCAUUUUCUUUGUGGACAUCUGUCUGUGUUGCAGUUAAAGUUUUUUGUGCAUAUGUUUUGUACAAGGCGG